rnacentral:misc_RNA from 1 species
GGAAGGGUUAGGAAGGGUCUGAAUUUUAGUGAGGCAGACGAGAAAGUAGUGCAGACCAAUGAGAGCAACAGUUUGCAAACUCGAGCACUUCAAGAUUCAGAGCGCAUGGUUGAAUCUGAGGAGAUUCUGAAGUUAAAGAAAGCACUUGCCCAAGUGGAAGCUGAGAAAGAAGCAGGCCUUAUCCAAUACCAACAGACAUUGGAGAAAUUAUCUCACCUGGAGUCAGAAGUGUCCCGUGCCAGAGAAGAUUCCCGAGGAUUUGGUGAACGAGCAAGCAAAGCUGAAGUUGAAGCCCAGACUUUAAGGGAUGCACUUUCUGCAUUGGGAGCUGAAAAAGAUGCUAAUAUUAAGUUGUAUCAGAAGUCCUUAGAAAUGAUUUCUGAGUUGGAGAAU